GGGUCUGUAGCUCAGUCUGGACAGAGCACCUCCCUUCGGAGGAGGGUGUCGCAGGUUCAAAUCCUGCCAGACUCG
rnacentral:tRNA from 1 species